AGUGAACGCUGGCGGCGUGCCUAAUACAUGCAAGUCGAACGAGUGGCGCACGGGUGAGUAAUGCUUGGGAAUCUGGCUUAUGGAGGGGGAUAACGACGGGAAACUGUCGCUAAUACCGCGUACCAUAGGAUGAGCCCAAGUGGGAUUAGGUAGUUGGUGGGGUAAUGGCCUACCAAGCCGACGAUCUCUAGCUGGUCUGAGAGGAUGACCAGCCACACCGGGACUGAGACACGGCCCGGACUCCUACGGGAGGCAGCAGUGGGGAAUAUUGCGCAAUGGGGGCAACCUGACGCAGCCAUGCCGCGUGAAUGAAGAAGGCCUUCGGGUUGUAAAGUUCUUUCGGUGACGAGGCGUUAAUCACAGAAGAAGCACCGGCUAACUCCGUGCCAGCAGCCGCGGUAAUAC
rnacentral:rRNA from 1 species